rnacentral:lncRNA from 1 species
AUAUAGUCCAUAUGGGACCAUGACCCUGCUUACUCCCAACCUCUAAUUCUACAGACAAGGGGACCAUGAGACUCGAGUGUCUUCCUCUCAACCAUCGCACUAAUUGGUGAUGGAAGGAAAGAGGAACUCCACUAAUGGAGAGAAGGUCCAGAGGAGGAGGGGAGAAAUAACAAGCAAGGUUUGCCUGGAAUGACUUGCUGUGGGAAAUCAAACGCUGUGGGCAGCCACUCAGAUUUCAGCAAGAAAGAGACUUGGGUAAAAUGAUUUUUCAGAAAAAGCGUACUUGCUGCUGCAUACAGAGCACAAUAAAUUAACUAUGUCAGAUUCCUUACCUCUGCACCUUUUGCUACCAGAACGUAAAAUAUCAACAAAAGAUAUUUAAAGGAAAAAAUUCAAUUGUUAUUCUUUUUCAUCUGAAAAGUUAUUUCUAUUUUUAGUCAGUGCUUAGCCAUUUUAGGAAUGAAGUCGAAAAAAAUUUUUCCCCUCAGUGGUUAUAACAAAAGUGAAGGCUCCAUGGCUUAAUUGUCUUUUUUUUUUUUAAGGGGGAUAGAAAGUUGGAAACUGAGCAUCCAAGAGAUGGAGUCUUUGGAGUAUUUCCCCAGUCAAAAGUUAAGUGUUGGUGCUGCUUCCCCUAAGGGUCUCCUCCUGCUCUGGAAAUGUGAAGACACUGAGGACUCCCAGCCUAGGUUUCCACCAUGCAACUGGUGGUGGGGCAGUUUUCAAAGUAGGGUCCUCGUACUGCACAUCUUCCCCCUUCCCAUUAUAACUACCUUCCUUCCCCAAAAAUAAGACCUAACCAGAAAAUAAUCAGCCUUGAAAAUAUAGAUUGAUUUUGCAGCUUCAUGGCCAGUGUUAUUUUCUGGAUUCUUCCCCAUUAUUCUCUUGCUCAGCAGCUGGCUAUAAUGGCAGGGAAACACAGAACGUACAUACUGACUUCCCAAAGACUCGUGUUCUUGGUGGAUGCCCAACAAAUAUUUGAUGAUGACCCAGGUUUCAAGACUUGGCUGCCACCCCUAAAUUUCAUGGCCUUUCUCCCAAAGAGACCAGAUGAAAAAGCAACUAUAAGAUUCAAAUUUAUUCUGUGCAGCCAUUGCUCUGUUUGCUAUCAAAGACUUUGCCAAGGGAAUGCUCCUAAAGGACAACAUAAACACUGUGCAUCCAUGUCUGAGUUGCCAUUGAAACCCAAGCUACAUACAGUUGUUUUAUUGUACAUGCUGACCAAUAAAUGGAAGGAUUUUCUCAAAAGAGGACACUCCUUUUCUAGUAAGAUGUGGAAAACGGGUUGAGCAUUAAUGUUUUUAUACAGAAAGGGAAGGAGUUGGGAGUAGGGAUCUACCUCAAAGUGAGGCCUCAGGGACUUACUUUAUUACACAUACUUAAGGUAUACAUGUUUUGAUAUACAUAUACAUAGUGAAAUGAUUACUGCAGUCAAGCAAAUAACACAUCUAUCAUUUUACACAGUUGCUUGCAUGUGGUGUGUAGUUUGUUUGGGCAGGAGAAUAUCGCCCAAAGGCCUCAUGGGCUUAUAGGUGGGACUUUGUAGGUAACUGAUUAUAGAGAUGGUAUGGCAGAGAUGGCGAACCUUUUAGAGCUUUCAGUGAUACAAAGAACUCUCUGUGGCACACGUGCCCUAGGUUUUGCUACCAUGGCACUAUAGCUAAACGUGCUGUCAGGAGGUGGGGGCCUGGUUGGAGGCAGGUCACUGGGGCAUGACGCGGAAGGGUUUAUCUGCUUUCUGGUUCCACGUUUCACCAUGCUCCGCUUUUCAGUCACCACAGUACGGGCCUCUCCCCAGGCCCUUCCAGCAUGCCUUUUUGUCUUGGGCUGAAACCUCUAAAACAAAAUGAGCCCAAAUAAACUUCUGUCCUUUUAACUUACAUUUGUAGUUCAGCAAUGAGGAAAGGGACUAAGACAUAAUAAAAGUUUCAGAAAUCCUCCUAGAAAGUUUUCAGUAUGAAAUACUGUAUUACUGACAAGAGUCUUCAUGAUGCAGGUUGGAUCUCUAGGCUGACUAAUCCUACCUCACUAAAAACACACGUGUACCACGUGACCACCUUCUUCCCAGUUCCCCCACUCCUCCCACUUCAGGUAACCAAACACCUUUCUACUCUCUAUGUAUUUGAGUUUUAUUUUGGGAUUUUCUUUGUUCUGCUUACAUUCCACAUGUGAGUUUCUGUAUCUGGCUUAUUUCACCUAGCAUGUUCUCUACAUUCAUCCACACUGCCAUAAAUGGCAGAAUUUCCUUUGAAGGCUAAAUUAUAUGUUUAUAGGAAGAUCACAAUUUCUUUAUUCAUCCUCUGACAGACAUAAGUUGUUCCUAAAUCUUAACCAUUGUAAAUAAUGCUGUGUUGAACAUGGGGCACAUGAUGUCUCUAGGAGGAGAAGGUAAUUUCAUUUCCUCUGGGUGUAUUCCCCGAGGAGGGUUUUCUGGCUCUCAGAGUAGCUCUGUGUUUUAUCUCUUUAGAAACCUCCACAUUGUUUCUCACCUGCCCCAAUCUAUCUUCCCACCCACAGAAUACAAGGGUUCCAUUUUCUCCUUAUCCUGGACAACACCUGUUACUGCUUUUCUUUUAUGUAUCAGCCAUUCUACUAGGUAUAAUGUAGUACUUUGUGGCUUUGAUCUGCAUUUCCCUGAUUAUUAGUGAUGUGAAGCACAUUUCCACAUAAGUGUUAUAAGGGAUUUUUUUGCAGCUGUGUUUGCAAAUACACGCCUUUGAUGGGAAUUACAUGUUUAUCAGGCAGCUUCUCAAGCUUUUUACUUUCUUAUCAGAAAAGCAACACCAGCUUCAGCUAAGUGAAGCUAGAAAUGAUGAAGGCCCUGUUUUGGCAAAUCCUGCUUCCCCCCUAGAGACUGAAUGAAGAGAUGAAAUGCUAAAGGAGAAAAACUCAGGAAAUGAUGAAGAACUGAUAUGUAGGAGACUACACUGAAGCCUUCCAAGUUGUUUUGGCCCUGGGAGUUUCCAAACAUAGGUAUUUAAGUAGCUCAGAUCCCUUGCUUAGAGUAAUCCAAACGAGUCAUUUCUUACCCUCAAUAUUUUCAAUUUAUUCACAUCUUACGUUGAGCUUACAAGAUGAAGAUGGUGGUGGUGGUAGUGGUGGUGGUGGUGAUGAUGAUGAUAAAUUGCUUUCUGAAAAGGUAAUACCACAAAUGAUACAAAACUCAAAAGUUACACAAGAAAAUGUGGUGAAAUAUAGCCCUGCUUACCACCUGUAACUACCCAAUAAUGGUCACAGUUUCUAAAGUAAUUUCCAAAGCUAUUUAUGCAUACCCAAGUAUAGACAUGUAUGUAUUUUAUGGCCAGUAUAUGUAGAAGAAUGAUAUUAAAACUCUUUGGGGGAGUACUGGGAAUUGAACCCAGGGCCUCACACAUGCUAUGCAAGUGCUAUACCAUUGAGCUACAACCCUAACCUUUCUUCAUUUUGAAACAGCAUCUCACUAAGUUGCUCAGGCUGGACUUAAAUUUGUGAUCCUGCUGCCUCAACCUCCUGAGUAGCUGGGAUUACAGAUAUAUACCACCAUGCCUAGCAUGAAACUUUUUCUUUUUGAGCCAUAAAAAGGAAUGAACUUUCUCUUUUGUUCCAGUGAUGUAGCUCUCUGUCCACCAGCGCUAGAAUGCUGAGACAAUUUAAUUUAUAUUUAAUUUAUAUGUGUCCAUCAUUACUCUUCUGAUUCAAUAUUUUCCUGAAUAUUCCUGAUCUUAUUUUUGCAUGUAACUCCAAAAUCAGCUUCUUGAGUAUAUAGUCCUUUCAUGCAUUAUAUCCUGGCACUGAUUGCUGCUUGCAUGUGUAAAGGCUAUUGAUUUUUUUAAUCUAGCUGUAUUAUUCAGUUCUCUUAUUUAUUACUGUUGCCAAUGAUACUUAAUUUUGAGUUUUUCCACAUGCUGAAUUGUAUUAUCUGCAAAUGUAAUUAUUUUGCCUCCUCCUUUACAUCUCCUAUUUCUUUCUUGUCCCUAAAAAGUUGGUGAGCACCUCAAGAUCAAUGUUUAGUAACAUGGAGAGUACCGUUUUCCUAAUUCAGUGUGGAUUUUCUACUGUUUGUCCAUGAAGCAUGAGCCAACUUAGACAAAACAAAUAUAUUUAUUAAAGCAGUAUAAAUUUAGUUCACUUAUGUUUUUCAUCAUCCAUAAUUUUCAUUAAACAUUGCAGCAACCAUGGGUGUGAGAUGGUUUUGCUGUUUUGAUAUAUUAAUAGGGUAAACUUCAUUAGUAAAUUUCAUACUAUUUCACUAUCCUCCCUUUUCUGAAAUAAAC